rnacentral:rRNA from 1 species
UGGGGAAUAUUGCACAAUGGGGGAAAACCCUGAUGCAGCGACGCCGCGUGAAGGAAGAAGUAUUUCGGUAUGUAAACUUCUAUCAGCAGGGAAGAAAAUGACGGUACCUGACUAAGAAGCCCCGGCUAACUACGUGCC